AGAGUUUGAUCAUGGCUCAGAACGAACGCUAGCGGCGUGGAUAAGACAUGCAAGUCGAACGGGCAGCCAGCAAUGGCUGUUAGUGGCGAACGGGCGCGUAACACGUAGGCAAUAUGCCGGGAAGUGGGGGAUAGCCCGGGGAAACCCGGAUUAAUACCGCAUGCGGCUGCCGGUGGCAUUACCGGCAGUCAAAGGAGGGGACCCGCGAGGACCUUUCGCUUUUCGAUUAGCCUGCGGCCUAUCAGCUUGUUGGCGGGGUAACGGCCCACCAAGGCGACGACGGGUAGCUGGUCUGAGAGGAUGACCAGCCGCAUUGGAACUGAGACACGGUCCAGACACCUACGGGUGGCAGCAGUCGAGAAUCAUUCACAACGGGCGAAAGCCUGAUGGUGUGACGCCGCGUGGAGGAUGAAGGUCUUCGGAUUGUAAACUCCUGUCAUUGAUGAGCAAGGCCCCCCCGAUAAAACCGGGAGGGGCUUGAUAUUAGUCAAAGAGGAAGAGACGGCUAACUCUGUGCCAGCAGCCGCGGUAAUACAGAGGUCUCAAGCGUUGUUCGGAAUCACUGGGCGUAAAGGGUGCGUAGGUUGUUCCUUAAGUUGGGUGUGAAAGACCGGGGCUCAACCCCGGAACUGCACCCAAUACUGGGGGACUGGAGGGUUCGAGGGGAGUCUGGAGUUCACGGUGUAGCAGUGAAAUGCGUGGAUAUCGUGAGGAACACUAGUGGCGAAGGCGGGACUCUGGAGAACACCUGUCACUGAGGCACGAAGGCCAGGGGAGCGAACGGGAUUAGAUACCCCUGUAGUCC
rnacentral:rRNA from 1 species